ensembl:lncRNA
GAUAAAACGUUUGGGACCACAUCGCCCGACGGAUUUAAUCAUUAUUCAAGAGGGAAAGGACAAGAAUAGAUCGUUCAACCAGGAGUGGUUCAAGCGGAAAAAAAUGCUUGUGUUUCACCUCAGCCACACAAAGGAGACCAGACAGCACUGUCCUUAAAGCACAGGUAUGGAUGUAAGCAUGAGGCACAGGCACGGAAGGACUACGAAAAAAUAAUGAGAGAGUUACAUGACGGCUACUCUAUAGCAGAUUCUGGCCUUUGUCUUAAUGCAAAGUGGCCCUUCAUGGGAGCAUCACCAGAUGGGAUUGUUGUUUGCAGUUGUCACAGAACUGGAGUGUGUGAAAUCAAGUGCCCACAUUGUCAUCAAGACAAGGAGAAAAUCAGAGCUUGUGCGGGAAAAAAAGGGUUUCUGCCUGGUGAAGGACGGUGACAAGAUAAAGCUGGACAGAUCACAUGCCUACUGCUAUCAAAUUCAAGCACAGCUCUUUAUCUUGCAAGUAGACUACUGUGAUUUUAUUGUAUGGAACAAGAAUUACAUUUUUAUAGAGAGAAUUUUGCCUGACGUGGAGUUUUCGGAUAGCAUCACCCCCAAGGCUGAAAGUUUUUUUCAGAAAUGUAUCCUCCCUGAAGUUUUGGGAAAUAAAUUCACCAAGCAAGUUUCUGCAUCUCUGCUCUCCCUUAAUUUAUUUUAUUUAACUGUCAGCCACCCCUUUCUCACCGUCAUUUCAUUUUAU